UACGUAGGGUGCGAGCGUUAAUCGGAAUUACUGGGCGUAAAGUGUGCGCAGGCGGCCGAGUAAGUCGAGUGUGAAAGCCCCGAGCUUAACUUGGGAACUGCGCUCGAAACUACUUGGCUAGAGUGUGGCAGAGGGAGGUGGAAUUCCACGUGUAGCGGUGAAAUGCGUAGAGAUGUGGAGGAACACCGAUGGCGAAGGCAGCCCCCUGGGUCAAGAUUGACGCUCGUGCACGAAAGCGUGGGGAGCAAACAGG
rnacentral:rRNA from 1 species